rfam:Pteropus alecto contig168794, whole genome shotgun sequence.
UGCUACAGCCAUGCCACCCUGAACAAGCCCGAUCUCAUCUGAUCUCGAAAGCUAAGCAGGGUCGGGUCUGAUUAGUACUUGGAUAGGAGACCACCUAGGAAGACCAGGUGCUGUAGGCG